GUGACAUGCGUACAUAGGCUACGACUCUUCAGUAUUGCCAGCUCGGGAGGUUUUCAUGACAGCGUGCGUAAAAUGGGUUUAGGCGAGUGGAUUUAUAGAAAUGGUUGAAUAGCAAAAAUAUAAAUUGUGCGGAUUUUUAGAGGAGUCUGCGGGACUGUGGUUGUAUUUUCAAUCAAAUCUUGCAACCCAGCUAUUUCCAAGCGUAAUUUUCAACAUGAAGCGGCAGAAUGUCAGAGCAAACCGUGCGAAGAAGUCGAGAUCACAACGAAGUACGAGCUAUAAUAUCAAGAAAAACGAAAUCCAAUGUAUUUUAAAGACACAAUUAUGCGUUCGGUUUAUUGUCGUCAUAACGGACAAUAUAAAAUAUGUGCGGAGGAUCAACUUGCUUCGCCCCCUAUGUGCGGACAGGCGUCUCCCGGGUCAAAAGUUCUGUCAACAUCUACCUCCAGUGAGAUAACGGUCACCUCACCUCCGGCCUCCCCUGAGCAGGAAGAUGCACCAGAGGAAGAUCAGUCACCCUUUCUGAGUGCUGAUACUGAUAAUUUUCCGUCAAAACCCACCUCCAUCGGGAUAGCAGACACGCCACCUCAAGCGAGAAAACCCAAAGGCUGUGGAACAUGUUUUCAGAGGAUAAAAACACACAGAGUUAUUGUGGGAGUGGUGGUUCUAAUUGGAGUUUUAAUUGGAGUUUUAAUUAGAAACUUUUACUACUCGGUUCCAACUACCAACCCACACUUGAAUGAAGGAACCAAUGUUACUACACCAAACCCCCUGACAUCAGGCAAUUACAGCCUUCAGACAACGGUCAAAACGGAUGAAAACAACACACAAAAUCCUUACUAUUUCUCACCUGAGAAAAAAUCCUGGAACGACAGCAGACUGGACUGUCUUCAGAGGGGAGGACAGCUGGUGGCAAUCAGCAGCAUGCCAGAACUUAAUUCAAUUAUUCAGAUGGGCAAAUGGAUGAAGAUCGACCAAAUGUGGGUCCAGUCUGAAGAUCGCUGUGCCAAAUUGGAUUUUGAUGAUAAAUGUCUAAAAAAGAAUCUUACAGUUGAAGAAUGUAAUACAAGGAAAGCGUUUGUAUGUAAAAAUGUCAUGAACAGGACUUAAAAAUAUCCUGUAUUUCAUCCGGCCCCCUCCGCCGACUGUCCCGGCCUCCGGCCCCCUCCGCCGACUGUCCCGGCCUCCGGCCCCCUCCGCCGACUGUCCCGGCCUCCGGCCCCCUCCGCCGACUGUCCCGGCCUCCGGCCCCCUCCGCCGACUGUCCCGGCCUCCGGCCCCCUCCGCCGACUGUCCCGGCCUCCGGCCCCCUCCGCCGACUGUCCCGGCCUCCGGCCCCCUCCGCCGACUGUCCCGGCCUCCGGCCCCCUCCGCCGACUGUCCCGGCCUCCGGCCCCCUCCGCCGACUGUCCCGGCCUCCGGCCCCCUCCGCCGACUGUCCCGGCCUCCGGCCCCCUCCGCCGACUGUCCCGGCCUCCGGCCCCCUCCGCCGACUGUCCCGGCCUCCGGCCCUCCGCCGACUGUCCCGGCCUCCGGCCCUCCGGCGGCUCUCCCGGCACCUGAUCCUCUGUAGAUUAGUCAUUGUUUUCCGUUCGUGUUUGGUUUGUUUGUUGUUUAUUAAAACCCACGAACAGAUAUCUGCCUGCGCCUGGUUCCUUCAACACCACACCACGACGAAGUGUUACAACAAGCUGUACACUCUCUACUUUACAUUGUAGCAAAGUGUCAUUUCCUCAGUGUUGUCACAUGAAAAGAUAUACCCAAAUAUUUGCAAAAAUGUGAGGGGUGUACUCAUGUCUGUGAGAUACUGUAUAUUGUACAUUCACUAUUCAAAUGUUGAUAGUGUGUUACCACAUUUUUACUACUUCCCUCAUCUACCCCAGAUCCAUUGACAUUAUCAGAGAGUUUUAUUGCCAAGUAACUUUCACAACAAACAAGGAAUUUGUUCUAUUAAUAAAGUUAAAUAUGUAAUGUGCAAGAUUUGUCCAGUUGGUUGGGUGUGCAAGUUUAUAUAUCAAAUGUACCGAAUAACACAGUGCCAUCCUGCACGAUGAAAUUCUUGUGACAUGGCACCCGACAAAUUAUGAAGAAUAUAAUAAAGCAAAAUUAUAGCAAAAAAAUCUAAUAUAGCAAUAAUAUACAUAAUUGAAAGAGUAAUGUAAACUAGCAGCAGUAUGGGUAGUAUUAUUGAACAUUAUAGAUAUAACAAGUAUGGCAAUAAUAUACAUAACAAUGUAAACUAGCAGCAAUUUAGAAGGAGUAGGAUGAGGAAAAUGCACAAUAUGGGUAGAAGUAUUGAAUAUUAUAGAUAAAUUAGUGUAAUAUGCUUAUGAAUGGGAAUAUUGUAGUGUACAUUGAAAGUGCCUGAAAAGACAUCAGAACAUCUGGAAUGUUCAUGUGUGAUCAGUGUGAUCAUGGAUCAGUGUUGCUGGUUGAGGAGCCUCAUGGCCUGAGGGAACAAUGCUGUACUAUGCUUUGGGAUGCACGAAUCUUCUCGCAUACUAAACUGGCCAGUGGCGUUUUUAUAUGUAAAAUAUUGGUGGGGCACAAACCAUUUCAAAAUAUAGGAUUACAUAGCAGUAAAGCUACAAAACUCCCUCUUGCUAUUUAACACAUCAACAAACAGCGUGGCUUCACAAAACACUUUUAACGACAAAGCGGCUUGCUUCUACCAGGUGUUGUAGUACACAUACACUACUGUUGUUUGCUCCUUGGGGUUUAAGGCCGGGUGUCUCUGUAAAGCACUUUGUGACAACUGCUGUUGUAAAAAGGGCUUUAUAAAUAAAUUUGAUAAAUAAAUUUGACAUACUGGAGAGAGAGAGAGACCUUCUUGUGAGAGACCUUCUCUCUCACACACAUGUAAAUUACCCCUGUCACAUUUACAAACCUAAAAUGUACCAAUGUGUUGAGUCACAGCUGUCCCAUGGUAUUGCGAGUGAAGGUUUUUACCUUUUUCAAGUUGGAAAAGUUCCUCUCUGACUCGGAUGUCGUCAUAGGUGUUGUUAUGAUAAUUUUCAGCAGAGUGACGGUCUCAACAAAAGCCUCCUAGGUUGUUCUUGUUGGAUACAAUUUUAAUAUUGUAUGCAUUUAUUAAUAUUACUACAGAAUUGUGCUAACAUGACUAACCUUUGAUUAACCUCUGUGAGGAGCUUAAUGUCACCCAUACAUAAGGCUUGUGCAAGAACUGACAUUUACUAAAUGCUGAUGUUGUUUCCUAUUAUUCGCUGGCUUUAAGCAAAAAUGUUACUAAGAGUAGAAAUGACCAGACGAACUGUCUGAUGUACUGUCUGAUGUACUGUCUGAUGUACUGUCUGAUGUACUGUCUGAUGUACUGUCUGAUGUACUGUCUGAUGUACUGUCUGAUUUACUGUCUGAUGUACUGUCUAGAAUAAUAGAGCUGUGGUUAAGGGUGAUAAAAUUACAUACUAUACUGUUUCAUUCACGUGUUUCCUGUUUUCGAUGUAUGUUGUCGAGUAGAAAAGGGUCAGACAGGGCAACAUUAAAACAGUCUAAGCACUACGAAGGGAGAGAAAUAGGACAGGGUGUGACAAGGAAGUAUUCAGAUUUGUCUACUGACAAGUAUAAAAUGUAUGUGUUUUUCCAAUUGUAUCAGAGCUCUCAGAUUAAAUGCUUAAGACCAGUUUGCUGUUUCCAGUGUGUUCUUUUGAUUUACAACUAAUACGUCCGAGCCUUUCAACCUCUGACUAGUGAUUUUGAGCCUGACAGUUCUCAUGGAUGGAUCUUAACAGAGGCGUCUUACGGCAGAGUCCAGCUCUGAUGUAGAAUGACAGGACAAAUUGUGCGAAGAGCGAGCUGUCAACCAGCUUGGCAAGCCCAUUCAUCAGUUUCCGCAUAUUCUGGACAUUCUCCUUGAAACGGGUGAGCGCACUGCUAAUCCCAGAUGCAUUGAUGCUCCGUUUUUGCAGAGUGUUGUAUAAAACAUCAACUUCUGACAUAAGGAGGAUUAUUUUUUUGACAGGCCGUAUGCCUCACUUAUGAUGGCCUCAUCCCAUCCUGGUUGUGUGCGUAUGUCCUCCAACCUCUCUGUCACUGUAUUGUCAGGCAACAUGUUUCGCAACACCACCACCAUUUGUGAUAUACAGGAGCCAUCAGUUGUCUCAUCUGCCUGU
rnacentral:lncRNA from 1 species